UACUGAAAGUUAGAAAAGUGAUGAUCUAGUAGGAGUCAUUAUGACCUAUGUGUUUUGUAGAAGUUAGUUAUAAAAGAUUAGCUAACAGAGUGUACUUUGGAGCAGUCCUCUGAAGACAUCUUGAGAGAUGUUUUUCUCGGUGGGUGAGCAACUGGCUACUGCAAACCUGCUGUUAAUUACUCAAUACCAUUCUGGAUGUUCGGUAAAUAUCUGUAAAAAGCAACAAAGAGUCCUGUGGCACCUUAAAGACUAACAGAUGUAUUGGAGCAUAAGCUUUUGUGGGUGAAUGCCCACUUCGUCAUACGGAUGUAAAUAUCUGGGAUGUUCUAAACCUAUUGCUUAUAUUUGUGUGCUUAAAUCUAAUAAACUGCUGUUUUAGAUAAGAUUCAUGCAAGUAAGCGUGCUCUAUUAGACGGAAGUGCUGUGUUCCUAUUGAUUUAUUCCUGACACCACCUGGAGUGGGGGUUCUAAAAACCUGAGGUAACAUAAGGGCAACAUGGUCUCCUUCGUAACAGCCAGUCUUUUGCAUUUAGGAAGAUCUGCUAAUCAAAAUGAUGAUUUCUGAGAUUCCAACAUACAAUAAGCUGUGAGGUCUUCUGAUAGGAUAUGUGCUUGGAAUCUGAGAUAUGUACACCAAGGGCCAGAGUGUGUAUACCUGUGAUGUGGGUUUGCUGAGACGGAGGGACAAAGAGAGGUCUGUGCAAGAGCCAGGCACAACAGCAUCUUCCGAGUUCAGAAACACCAUUUUGAGGAGAAAGGCUCAGUCCUGGGACUUCAAGGCCUAGCUAGGCCAUUAAGGGAAUCUGAAGACUUUGACACACUGGGACCAAGAGUUGGUGUGAAUCCUAAUGAAGUCUGAAGUUUUCACCAAAGUUUUCACCCCUCAGGUCACAGAGAGCCAAGUACUACUCCCCAAAAGAACCAACGUCCUAAUCCAAAGUCCAGAGAAAUCAGAUUAUAGUGAAUAGUCCAGAGAAAGACUCCCUCGGACUUUAACGGGCUUUAGAUCACAUUCCAGGCUAUCCAUUCCCAAGCAACUCAAGGGAGAGAUAAGCAGAGUGGAACAUUCCAUGAGGAUCACACUGUCUGAUUGUUCAUUAGAAACUACAGAAGGGACUCUGCAGGAUUUCAUACAGUAAACUCUCCAGAUCCACAGGAGAUCACUCUCUUCCACUCACAAAGCAGAGGGGACUACAACAUGGGACUAUCCUAUUAGGCCCCCAUCCUCUGCUGGGAUCCUCACAAGUGAACACCUAUAUAGAAGCUCACCAAUAUUAAUGGAUCUCCAUGCAGAUGCAGCAGUCCAAUCACGUGCUGCCAAUUACAGGAUAAGAGCAUUAGAUCAGAUCAAGAAGAUGGUCUCACGAGUGAAAAUAUACCUUGGAUAAAUUUGUAUUUACCUUUGCUUGAAUUUUGGUCUAUAAAUAUAACUAUCAGCCUCCAUGCAAAUUAAAUAGGGUUACAAACGGUUAGAAGCCAGUAUGUCCCCGGUUAGCUGGGCAGGUUCCUAAAUUAAAGGUUACUAGACAACUUGCAGAACCACCAGUGCUGGAAAAUGGAGAAAGUGAAAAAAAAAAUGCUCCUGAGAAACACUAUCACAAUUAAAUUAACGGGAUUUUGAGAGGAUCCAGGAAAGUUCCUGCAGCUUCUGCCUCCUUUAUAAUGUCAUGGUUUUAAUUUACCUCAUUUAUAUUAAUGAAUAGUGGAUUGCACGACUAUUAGCAUGAUUGAAAAUUGCACUAAUGCUCAGUAAAUCUACCUCUAAUUAUGAUGAUUAAUGAGAAGUUGAUCAUCUUGGACCAGCUUAACAACCUAGAACAAUUGAAACUGAGUAAAAGAGAUGUUUCUUGGUAAAUCGGGUCUUCAGUCUUUUUUAUUUAAUGAAAACUAAGCAGUCCACUCAGCAAUAUUACCUCCUAAUUCACUAUAAUCAUCCAUUUACAUAUAUCUGCAUAGAUUAUGUCCCCUCCACCUACAUAUUUACCAGAAAUUAAUUUACUUCAAAAGUGCAUUAAAACUUAGCCCUAUGAUUAGCUUAAUACUGUAGUAAUGUUCCAUUUUGUAGUUGGAUAAUAACCGUAGCUCCGCUGCUUUUACACCACUUAGCUCCUGAACAUGCGCAUGGUGCAAUUAUCUAUAAGUAUUACACCCAGUUAGAGACAUUGGUAUUCACUGCCACCCAUUUUAAAGAAAAUCUUCUCAAUUUGAUAUGUAGUUGCUGGCAUGCUGAAACCACCGCCUAUCACGCUGACCAAUAUUGUCUCAUCACUUCCUUGUAUUUCCCCAUCUAUCAGUCUGCACCAUCUGUCUUUUGUCUUAAAUUUACUUCGUAAGCUCCUUGAGGCAUGGACCGUCUUUUUUAGUCUGUGUUUGUACAGGGCCUAGCACAAUAGGAUCCUGGUCCAUGACUGGGGCUCGUAGGCACUACAAUAAUACAAAUAAUAAAAAUCAACUUCCACACAUUUUAAAAGGACAAGGUCAACUUCAAAUGUAGUUUGUGGGAGUUUCCUCCCCUUCCCCCACAUCUGUUUUUAAAUUACUUUAAAUAGUUUCAGGGACUAUAGCUGAUCUGUGGUUUGUGUGAUAGGGUGUCCACCCAACACAGGACUGGCCGGGGGCUAAGGUGACCAGGUAGGUCAGUUAACUCCACAGGCUGCACCUGGAGCAAGAGCCAGGGAGUAGGGAGCUAACUGGAAGCAGGUUCAGCUGUGCAGGAACAGGAGGGGCUUGUAUAAAGUCCAGGAGAGGUGAGCAGUAAAGAGAUUGAUGGGAAAGGCUGCAGGAAGGAAGGCGGCAGUCAGUCCCUAUGAAGAGGGUUUUGGAGCUGGUACACCCAGAGUGAGAAGGGGAACCAGGUGUGGUAGGAAGCAAUCCAGGGAAGGAGGAGUGAGGUCUGAGAAAGGAAAGCCCAGAAUUGCUAAGCUGAGGGUUCCUGGACUGGAACCUGGAGUAGAGGGUAGGCCCGGAUUCCGCCAUCAGCCACUGAGGGAGUAGCACCAUGGGGCAGUGAGAGGGCA